CUGAACAGGCGGNCCUCGAUCCCGC
rnacentral:tRNA from 1 species